rnacentral:rRNA from 1 species
UACGUAGGGGGCAAGCGUUGUCCGGAUUUAUUGGGCGUAAAGAGCGUGUAGGCGGCUAGAUAGGUCCGUUGUGAAAACUCGAGGCUCAACCUCGAGACGUCGAUGGAAAACCAUCUGGCUAGAGUCCGGAAAGAGGAGAGUGGAAUUCCCAGUGUAGCGGUGAAAUGCGUAGAUAUUGGGAGGAACACCAGUGGCGAAGGCGGCUCACUGGACCGGUACUGACGCUGAUUGCGCGAAAACGUGGGGGAGCAAACGGGGG